CUAGGUGUAAACGCUGUGGACUUGGUGUUGGGAGCUCCCAGAGGGCUCUCAGUGCCGUAGCGAAGGUGAUAAGUCCACUGCCUGGGGAGUACGGUCGCAAGGCUGAAACUUAAAGGAAUUGGCGGGGGAACACCGCAACCUGAGGAUUGUGCGGUUUAAUUGGAUUCAACGCCGGAAAACUCACCAGUGCCGACGGACAAAUGAAAGCCAGGUUAACGACUUUGCUGGAUUGUUCGAGAGGUAGUGCAUGGCCGCCGUCAGUUCGUACCGUAAGGCGUUCUGUUAAGUCAGAUAACGAACGAGACCCUCAUCCCUAUUUGCCAAGGUCUCUCCGGAGAUCAAGGGACUAUAGGGAGACCGCUGGCGCGAAGUCAGAGGAAGGCGAGGGCAACGGUAGGUCAGUAUGCUCCGAAUGCACUGGGCUACACGCGCAAUACAAAGGACGGGACAAUGGGCUGCUGCUCCGAGAGGAAUGAUGGCUAUCCCGAAACCCGUUCGUAGUUCGGAUCGAGGGCUGUAACUCGCCCUCGUGAAGCUGGAUUAGGUAGUAAUCGCGUCUCAAAAAGGCGCGGUGAAUACGCCCCUGUUCCUUGCACACACCGCCCGUCAAACCAUCUUAGUUGGGGGUGGGUGAGGCUGCCUUUUAGUGGGGUAUUCGAGCCUGCUUUCGACAAGGAGGGUUAAGUCGUAACAAGGUAUCUGUA
rnacentral:rRNA from 1 species